rnacentral:rRNA from 1 species
GGGUUGUGAGGUUAAGCGACUAAGCGUACACGGUGGAUGCCCUGGCAGUCAGAGGCGAUGAAGGGCGUGCUAAUCUGCGAUAAGCGCCGGUAAGGUGAUAUGAACCGUUAUAACCGGCGAUACCCGAAUGGGGAAACCCAGUGUGACUCGUCACACUAUCAUUAACUGAAUCCAUAGGUUAAUGAGGCGAACCGGGGGAACUGAAACAUCUAAGUACCCCGAGGAAAAGAAAUCAACCGAGAUUCCCCCAGUAGCGGCGAGCGAACGGGGAGGAGCCCAGAGCCUGAAUCAGCAUGUGUGUUAGUGGAAGCGUCUGGAAAGGCGCGCGAUACAGGGUGACAGCCCCGUACACAAAAGCGCAUGUGCUGUGAGCUCGAUGAGUAGGGCGGGACACGUGGUAUCCUGUCUGAAUAUGGGGGGACCAUCCUCCAAGGCUAAAUACUCCUGACUGACCGAUAGUGAACCAGUACCGUGAGGGAAAGGCGAAAAGAACCCCGGCGAGGGGAGUGAAAAAGAACCUGAAACCGUGUACGUACAAGCAGUGGGAGCCCCACCACUAAGCCAGUGGUGAACUCCACAUACGCAUCCUUUGCUGAGGAUACGGUUAACGGAGCGAAAGCGACGUUCAACCUCAAAAGAAGCA